AAGUCGUAACAAGGUUUCCGUAGGUGAACCUGCGGAAGGAUCAUUAAUGAAAUCUGCGGGAGGGAAGCGCAAGAGGGGGAGGAAAGACGAGCAGGCGAAGUUUGGUGGAGGUUGUCGCUGGCCCUCGGGCAUGUGCACGCCUUUGCCUUAGUCCCUCGUUCGCUUUUCUCUUUCGCGUGGAUCUCCCGUUCUCUCACACACCUGUGCACACGUUGUAGGCUUCCUCGAGAGGGGAAACCUAUGUCUUUCAUAAACAACCCUGUAUGUCUAUAGAAUGUCUACGUUGACGUCGAAAGACGGUAAACGAAAUCAUAUACAACUUUCAGCAACGGAUCUCUUGGCUCUC
rnacentral:misc_RNA from 1 species